rnacentral:rRNA from 1 species
GACGAACGCUGGCGGCGUGCUUAACACAUGCAAGUCGAACGAUGAAGCCCUUCGGGGUGGAUUAGUGGCGAACGGGUGAGUAACACGUGGGCAAUCUGCCCUUCACUCUGGGACAAGCCCUGGAAACGGGGUCUAAUACCGGAUAAUACCUGCCUGGGCAUCUGGGUGGGUUGAAAGCUCCGGCGGUGAAGGAUGAGCCCGCGGCCUAUCAGCUUGUUGGUGAGGUAGUGGCUCACCAAGGCGACGACGGGUAGCCGGCCUGAGAGGGCGACCGGCCACACUGGGACUGAGACACGGCCCAGACUCCUACGGGAGGCAGCAGUGGGGAAUAUUGCACAAUGGGCGAAAGCCUGAUGCAGCGACGCCGCGUGAGGGAUGACGGCCUUCGGGUUGUAAACCUCUUUCAGCAGGGAAGAAGCGAGAGUGACGGUACCUGCAGAAGAAGCGCCGGCUAACUACGUGCCAGCAGCCGCAGUAACAC